GUCAUUGUAAAGCAUAUCAAAUGCCUUCAUGAGGUCAAUGAAUGCGCCAAUUUUAAAGGGGCCCUGCAACACGUUUGGAGUACCGUCAGAAAACGCUGCUGAUCUGUAGUACAGACUCCUGAAAACACGCAAUCCAAAUAUUAUAGCACAGCACGUGGCCUGGAACUCGCAAUAAUAUACAAAAAGAUCGCCGCGGGAGGCCACGACUUGUCCCCGCGUGCGCGCGCGAACACACUGAAAAAGCGGCACACUCGAAGAAAAUAAGGUGUUCAAGGCCACGAGGCACAUGUGACGUUUUUCUGUGGCCCUGCCAUCCCUCCCUGCUCAGCUUCCAGCGCUUUCGUCGGGACGAGAGAGGAGAGAGUGCAAUUGCAGCAUGCGACAAACCUUUGUAACUCCUCUCGCACUGGACAGUAUCUUAAAAUUUCGCGACGUUCAAUUCGUGGGGCUGUAAGCUUUUCCAAUAAAUUCAUUUUGUGGUUACCUGAAAAAGCA